rnacentral:rRNA from 1 species
AUUGAACGCUGGCGGCAGGCCUAACACAUGCAAGUCGAGCGGAGCGGCGGACGGGUGAGUAAUGCCUAGGAAUCUGCCUGGUGGUGGGGGAUACCGUCCGGAAACGGGCGCUAAUACCGCAUACUAUCAGAUGAGCCUAGGUGGGAGUAGCUAGUGGGUGGGGUAACGGCCUACCAAGGCGACGUGCAGUAACUGGUCUGAGAGGAUGAUCAGUCACACUGGAACUGAGACACGGUCCAGACUCCUACGGGAGGCAGCAGUGGGGAAUAUUGGACAAUGGGCGAAAGCCUGAUCCAGCCAUGCCGCGUGUGUGAAGAAGGUCUUCGGAUUGUAAAGCACUUUAAGUUGGGAGGCGUUACCAACAGAAUAAGCACCGGCUAACUACGUGCCAGCAGCCGCGGUAAUAC